ACGGAGGAUGCGAGCGUUAUCCGGAUUUAUUGGGUUUAAAGGGUGCGUAGGUGGACUGUUUAGUCAGUGGUGAAAUGCUGAUGCUCAACGUUAGCAUUGCCGUUGAAACUGACAGUCUUGAGAGUGAUUGAGGCAGGCGGAAUGUGUGGUGGAGCGGUGAAAUGCAAAGAGAUCAGGAAGAACCCCAAGGGGGAGGGCAGGUUCCAAAGCCACAACUGACACUGAAGCGCGAAAGCGUGGGGAUCAAACAG
rnacentral:rRNA from 1 species